rnacentral:rRNA from 1 species
UACGUAGGGGGCAAGCGUUGUCCGGAUUUAUUGGGCGUAAAGAGCGUGUAGGCGGCCAUGCAGGUCAGCUGUGAAAACUCGAGGCUCAACCUCGAGACGUCGGUUGAAACCGUAUGGCUAGAGUCCGGAAGAGGAGAGUGGAAUUCCCGGUGUAGCGGUGAAAUGCGCAGAUAUCGGGAGGAACACCUAUGGCGAAGGCAGCUCGCUGGGACGUUACUGACGCUGAGACGCGAAAGCGUGGGGAGCAAACAGG